rnacentral:snRNA from 1 species
AGCUUUGCAGAAAGGUAGUAUUAUAGCCAAUGAGGUUUAUCCAAGGAGCAAUUAUUGUUAAUUGAAAACUUAAAUAUACAAA